AUAGCGUAUAUUAAAGUUGUUGCAGUUAAAAAGCUCGUAGUUGAAUUUUAGGCCUGGUUGAACGGUCUGCUCUAGGGUUUGUACUGUCCUGACUGGGUCUUACCUUCUGGUGAGCUGUCGUAUUGUUUACUCAGUGCGGCAGGGAACCAGGACUUUUACUUUGAAAAAAUUAGAGUGUUUAAAGCAGGCAUUCGCUUGAAUACAUUAGCAUGGAAUAAUAGAAUAGGACUUUGGCUCUAUUUUGUUGGUUUCUAGGACCAAGGUAAUGAUUGAUAGGGAUAGUUGGGGGCAUUAGUAUUUAGUUGUCAGAGGUGAAAUUCUUGGAUUUA
rnacentral:rRNA from 1 species